UACGUAGGGCGCAAGCGUUGUCCGGAAUUAUUGGGCGUAAAGAGCUCGUAGGCGGUCUGUUACGUCCGCUGUGAAAACCCAGGGCUUAACCCUGGGCUUGCAGUGGGUACGGGCAGACUAGAGUGUGGUAGGGGAGACUGGAAUUCCUGGUGUAGCGGUGAAAUGCGCAGAUAUCAGGAGGAACACCGAUGGCGAAGGCAGGUCUCUGGGCCACUACUGACGCUGAGAAGCGAAAGCAUGGGGAGCGAACAGG
rnacentral:rRNA from 1 species